UACGGAGGGUGCGAGCGUUGUCCGGAAUCAUUGGGCGUAAAGGGCGCGUAGGUGGCCCGGUCAGUCUUUGGUGAAAGCGCGGGGCUCAACCCUGCGUCGGCCAGGGAUACUGCCGCGGCUCGAGCACUGUAGAGGCAGGCGGAAUUCCGGGUGUAGCGGUGGAAUGCGUAGAGAUCCGGAAGAACACCGGUGGCGAAGGCAGGUCUCUGGGCCACUACUGACGCUGAGAAGCGAAAGCAUGGGGAGCGAACAGG
rnacentral:rRNA from 1 species